CAGUAGCCGCGGUAAUACCGAGGGUGCGAGCGUUAAUCGGAUUUACUGGGCGUAAAGCGUGCGUAGGCGGCUAAUUGAGUCGGAUGUGAAAUCCCCGAGCUUAACUUGGGAAUUGCAUUCGAUACUGGUUAGCUAGAGUGUGGGAGAGGAUGGUAGAAUUCCAGGUGUAGCGGUGAAAUGCGUAGAGAUCUGGAGGAAUACCGAUGGCGAAGGCAGCCAUCUGGCCUAACACUGACGCUGAGGUACGAAAGCAUGGGGAGCAAACAGGAUUAGAUACCCCGGUAGUCCCUGUCUCUUAUAU
rnacentral:rRNA from 1 species